rnacentral:tRNA from 1 species
UCGUAGUGCAGGAUUAGCAUGUCUGUCUAAGACGCUGAACGCCUGGGUUCGAAUCCUAGCGA